GGCGAGAUAGCUCAGUUGGUAGAGCAAUGGACUGAAAAUCCAUGUGUCAUCGGUUCGAUCCCGAUUCUCGCCACCA
rnacentral:tRNA from 2 species